rnacentral:rRNA from 1 species
UACGUAGGGUGCGAGCGUUAAUCGGAAUUACUGGGCGUAAAGCGUGCGCAGGCGGUUUUGUAAGCCAGAUGUGAAAUCCCCAGGCUUAACCUGGGAACUGCGUCGGAUACUGAUUGGCUUGAAUCCGGGAGAGGGAUGCGGAAUUCCAGGUGUAGCGGUGAAAUGCGUAGAUAUCUGGAGGAACACCGGUGGCGAAGGCGGCAUCCUGGACCGGCAUUGACGCUGAUGAGCGAAAGCCAGGGGAGCAAACGGG